GACGAACGUUGGCGGCGUGCUUAAUACAUGCAAGUCAACUGAAGCAGUGGUAGCAAUAUCGCUGUGGAGGUGGCGCACGGGUGAGUAACACGUAGGUAAUCUGCCUUCAGGUCUGGCAUAACUCCGGGAAACCGGGGCUAAUAGCGGAUGAUGCAGCGGCUCGACAUCGAGACAGUUGUUAAAGCUAUGGCGCCUGAAGAUGAGCCUGCGUCUGAUUAGCUAGUUGGCGGGGUAACGGCCCACCAAGGCAACGAUCAGUAGCUGGUCUGAGAGGAUGAUCAGCCACACUGGAACUGAGACACGGUCCAGACUCCUACGGGAGGCAGCAGUAAGGAAUAUUGCUCAAUGGGAGAAAUCCUGAAGCAGCAACGCCGCGUGAGGGACGAAGGGCUUUUGCUUGUAAACCUCUGUAGUGAGAGAAAAAAAUCCCAAUCUUUGGGACAUGAUGGUAUCUCAAAAGUAAGCCCCGGCUAACUACGUG
rnacentral:rRNA from 1 species